CGCGGCCUAUCAGCUUGUUGGCGAGGUAACGGCUCACCAAGGCAUCGACGGGUAGCUGGUCUGAGAGGACGAUCAGCCACACUGGGACUGAGACACGGCCCAGACUCCUGCGGGAGGCAGCAGUGGGGAAUCUUGCGCAAUGGGCGAAAGCCUGACGCAGCAACGCCGCGUGGGGGAUGAAGGCUCUCGGGUUGUAAACCCCUUUCAGCAGGGACGAAAUUGACGGUACCUGAAGAAGAAGCCCCGGCCAACUACGUGCCAGCAGCCGCGGUGACACGUAGGGGGCGAGCGUUGUCCGGAAUUAUUGGGCGUAAAGAGCUCGUAGGCGGUUUAGUAAGUCAGAUGUGAAAGGUUGGGGCUCAACCCUUAGACUGCAUCCGAUACUGCUAUGACUAGAGUCCGGUAGAGGAGUGUGGAAUUCCUGGUGUAGCGGUGAAAUGCGCAGAUAUCAGGAGGAACACCGACGGCGAAGGCAGCACUCUGGGCCGGUACUGACGCUCAGGAGCGAAAGCGUGGGUAGCAAACAGGAUUAGAUACCCUGGUAGUCCACGCCGUAAACGUUGGGCACUAGGUGUGGGGCCUUAUCAACGGGUUCCGUGCCGUAGCUAACGCAU
rnacentral:rRNA from 1 species